GGAAGCUUGCAUGUGAAUUGAAAGCUUGCUCCAAUACUUUAAUUGGUAAUGAAGAAAUGUUUAACAUUCCAGGUGAUAAAUACAUGUGUGAACUAAAUCUAUUGAUCUGCUUGUUUAUGUAACGGUACUUGAAAACUGUAUUACCGGUUAUGUCUUGGCAUGCUUCUUUACGGAUCUGUUAUCCAUGCAUGGCAGGCAAUAGUUGGCAUUUUAGCAGCACAAACUGCUCAUAUUGCCUUUUUCGUUCACGGGAAGCAACCAUCUUAUUGUCAGAAUCUGACAACAGGCUGGAUUCCAACUAGAGCUUUUUAGUUUUAAGCUAGAUGCUUGAAGUAAUCAAAUUUGAUUGGUGGUUGCUUUCCUGUCUGUAGCCAUGAUUCACUCAUGCCCAUACAAAAUUAGAUGCAUCCUUUCAGAAUGCAAUAAUGUUUUGAAGUAAUUUAAAGAUGCAUGGUUGUAUUCUAUGAUCUGUGUUAACUGAUUGUUUGGAGGUUAAAGCUUAAAAGAUAUAGGGCCAGCAGGUGGCCAUAUUAGCAACUGGCAGCCAUGCUAUGCCAGAGCGUCCCAGAUCAUCUUUCUUUAUUGAUUAUCUUUUCUUUUU
rnacentral:lncRNA from 7 species